GGGCGGUGUGCCUCCUGCCUGCCCGUGCUGGCCAGGCCCGUGCGUGCUGCCAUACCUGGCCGCCCCCGAAGUUUGGGACGGAGUUUUCGCUUGGAGUCGGGCAUGUUUGAUAGCCCCGAUAUAAAACAGACCUUUGAGAAGAUUAAGACAGAGCCAGACACGCGUGGUAUUGCCACUUGGAGUACUGAGUGAACUCUUAAUUAGGAAGCCUACUACUUCAUCUGCACCCUACCUUCCUUACAACGUGAUGCACACCAGUCCUCCUGCUUUUCUUGUGUCUUUGUGGAUAUAUAAUCAUCACGGUUCAAAACCAUUUAAAGAAAAUGCAGUUUGAAAGGGUUUACUGCCACAGGUUUGGGUUAACCUUUCUCGUUUAAUGAAACAAUGGGAUUAGAAUGGAGAAAGAAAGAGAUUUAUGAAAGACUUCAAGACUCCCCAAAGCUUCUUGCUUGUGACCUAUUUUGUUCACUACUUUCUGAAGAGAAGAAACUAAAGGAUUUCACAAAGCUUUCUGUGUGA
rnacentral:lncRNA from 1 species